CCUACGGGAGGCAGCAGUGGGGAAUAUUGCGCAAUGGGCGAAAGCCUGACGCAGCGACGCCGCGUGAGGGAUGAAGGUCUUCGGAUCGUAAACCUCUGUCAGCAGGGAAGAACGGUCACUGUGCUAAUCAGCAGUGAAUUGACGGUACCUGCAAAGGAAGCACCGGCUAACUCCGUGCCAGCAGCCGCGGUAAUACGGAGGGUGCGAGCGUUAAUCGGAAUUACUGGGCGUAAAGCGCUCGUAGGCGGUAUGUCAAGUCAAGGGUGAAAUCCCCGCGCUCAACGUGGGAACUGCCUUUGAAACUGGGAAACUGGAGUGUGUGAGAGGAUAGUGGAAUUCCAGGUGUAGGAGUGAAAUGCGUAGAUAUAUGGAGGAACAGCAGUGGCGAAGGCGACUAUCUGGCACAUAACUGACGCUGAGGAGCGAAAGCGUGGGUAGCAAACAGGAUUAGAUACCCGAGUAGUC
rnacentral:rRNA from 1 species